AUGAGGAAGCUGCCUCGAAGACUGGGAUAUACGGUCGAAAGACCGGGCAAUACCAGAUGUGGCUCCAAAAGGGCAUCCUUUUGGAAUCAAACGGCGCAAGUCGCUUCGAGAGGCUCUCAUGGCCUAUCAGGUAGUUGGUGGGGUAAUGGCCUACCAAGCCUACGACGGGUAGCGGGUCUGAGAGGACGAUCCGCUCGAGUGGGACUGAGACACGGCC
rnacentral:rRNA from 1 species